rnacentral:rRNA from 1 species
UAUCUCUGUAGAGUCUGCAUAUCAAUAAGCGGAGGAAAAGAAACUAACAAGGAUUCCCCUAGUAACGGCGAGUGAAGCGGGAAGAGCUCAAAUUUGAAAUCUUAAAGGGUUUCCCUUUACGAAUUGUAGUUUAAAGAAGUGUUUUCUGUUGGAGUUUCGGUAAAAGUUCUUUGGAAUAGGACAUCAUAGAGGGUGAGAAUCCCGUAUUUGACCGUUACUUUCCAGCUGUGUGAUACACUUUCAAAGAGUCGGAUUGUUUGGGAAUGCAGUCCAAAAUGGGUGGUAAAUUUCAUCUAAAGCUAAAUAUUGGCGAGAGACCGAUAGCGAACAAGUACCGUGAGGGAAAGAUGAAAAGAACUUUGAAAAGAGAGUUAAACAGUACGUGAAAUUGUCAAAAGGGAAGCGUUUGACACCAGUGUUGUUUUCUCGAAAAUCAAUUAAAAAUGGCCGGAUUUUGUGUUGUAUUGACUUUAUCAGCUUUCUGCACUUUUUUCUUGUCUUUUUUAAUGCACUUUUCGUUUAACAAGUCAACAUUAAUUUCUUUUGUUGUAAAAGGGUCAUUGGAAGGUGGCUUUCACUUCGGUGAAAGUGUUUAUAGCCUUUGACUUCUGCAAUCGGAGAGAUUGAGGUCUGCAGCGUAGAUCCUUCGGGGUUAGAUACGUUUGUGCUAAGUUAUAGCUCUUUCAUAGACAACUUGUUGACUAUGAUCGGUCAUGUAGCUUACUCGCUUAUGUUAUUUUACCUACGCUUAGGAUGUUGAACGCGCACAGAGUCUC